UGGGGCAUAGCUUAAAAGCAAAGCAACUCCCUCACAUUGAGUAGACUGUCCGUUCAAACCGGGCUGCCCUAA
rnacentral:tRNA from 1 species